CUCCCGGGCAUUUCUCUUCUCUUUAUCCGGAGCGUAGAAGGCGAAGGCCCGGCUCGGCACGGAGCCCUUUCCGUGCCCAUCGCAAGUGCCACCGCCGCCAUGGGCCUCACCAUCUCCUCGCUCUUCUCCCGCCUGUUCGGCAAGAAGCAGAUGCGUAUCCUGAUGGUUGGAUUGGAUGCUGCUGGCAAGACGACUGUACUGUAUAAACUCAAGUUAGGGGAGAUAGUCACGGCCAUUCCUACCAUUGGUUUUAAUGUGGAUUUAUGUGGAAACAGUAGAAUAUAAGAACAUUUGUUUCACAGUGUGGGAUGUUGGUGGUCAAGAUAAAAUUCGGCCUCUGUGGAAGCAUUACUUCCAGAAUACCAGGGCUUUAUUUUUGUGGUAGAUAGCAAUGAUCGUGAAAGAAUUCAGGAAGGAGCAACUGUGCUGCAGAAUAUGCUUCAGGAAGAUGAGCUGCAAGAUGCAGCGCUGCUGCUGUUUGCAAACAAACGGGAUUUGCCAAAUGCCAUGGCCAUCAGUGAAAUGACAGAUAAAUUGGGUCUUCAGUCUCUUCAGAACAGAACAUGGUAUGUUCAAGCCACUUGCGCUACACAAGGAACGGGUCUGUAUGAAGGACUGGACUGGCUGUCAAAUGAGCUUUCAAAACGUUAACGGAAGCUGGAUCUGAAACCACAGACACGCUAACCUACCUUGGACACCUUUGAUAGAAUUGGCUUAGGCUUGUUACAGCAAAAUUAGUUUGUAUCUUGGUUAUUAAACAGUAUCUGAGACUGGUUUGGGCAGUUUCAACUUAUUUUGUUGCCAAUUAUUAUUUACCAAGUACAAUGUUGCCAGUUAGCAAUAUGCUUGGUUUUCAAGAGAUUUUCCUUGGGGAAAAAGUAUCCUCUCUUACUCUCACCUUUAAGCCUAAAUGCCUGGACAGAGCUAUUGUGUCACCUUUAUAUCAUUCUGACUAUGUUUUGAGCCCACAACCAACAAUGUUUUAGAAGUUACUUCCUUGGUACUUCACUGAUUCCUUUAUCAUUCCUGGGACAGUCUGCUGAUUUAAAAAUGUAGCAUUCCAUUUGUAUUUAUUUCUUUCCCUUGCCAAAAAGAUUUUCUGAUGUUGCUCUUACCAGCCAGGGAGAUGCUCCAAAACACUACUCGGCUCUCUUGCACUGAGGAACUUAGUUCUUCUCCCCGGUGAAACUUCCCUUGGUGUGGUUUGGAUUUGCUAGCCGGUUCUGUGUUGGUUGCCAAGAGUCCCUGUGGAGGUGGGUUUUCAUACUCAGCAGAUUGCCUUCCUUUAUAGUAUAUCUUUUUUAUGUCGCAUGUUGCUUUUGGUAUCAGCCUGACUCUUUGCCCAAUAUAUAUGGUUCUCCUGAUAUUUUGUUGUUUAUCGAUGAACAUAUCUUUCAGAGUUUUUAGAAGACUCGUCAAACUCAAUAAUUUUUCUUCAUAACCCAUUUGGAAUUAUUCCUAAUAAAAUGAUAAAAUGUAA